UACAGAGGUGGCAAGCGUUGUUCGGAAUUACUGGGCGUAAAGGGCGCGUAGGCGGUCUUGUAAGUCUUGUGUGAAAUCCCUCGGCUUAACUGAGGAACUGCACGGGAUACUGCGAGACUUGAGAUCGGGAGAGGGAAGCGGAAUUCCGGGUGUAGCGGUGAAAUGCGUAGAUAUCCGGAGGAACACCGGUGGCGAAGGCGGCUUCCUGGACCGGACACUGACGCUGAGGCGCGAAAGCUAGGGGAGCAAACGGG
rnacentral:rRNA from 1 species